GACGAACGCUGGCGGCGUGCCUAAUACAUGCAAGUCGAGCGGACGGAUGGGAGCUUGCUCCCAGACCGUCAGCGGCGGACGGGUGAGUAACACGUGGGCAACCUGCCUGUAAGACUGGGAUAACUCCGGGAAACCGGGGCUAAUACCGGAUAACUCUUUCCCUCACAUGAGGGAAAGCUGAAAGAUGGCAUCUCGCUAUCACUUACAGAUGGGCCCGCGGCGCAUUAGCUAGUUGGUGAGGUAACGGCUCACCAAGGCGACGAUGCGUAGCCGACCUGAGAGGGUGAUCGGCCACACUGGGACUGAGACACAGCCCAGACUCCUACGGGAGGCAGCAGUAGGGAAUCUUCCGCAAUGGACGAAAGUCUGACGGAGCAACGCCGCGUGAGUGAUGAAGGUUUUCGGAUCGUAAAACUCUGUUGUCAGGGAAGAACAAGUACCGGAGUAACUGCCGGUACCUUGACGGUACCUGACCAGAAAGCCACGGCUAACUACGUG
rnacentral:rRNA from 1 species